UACGUAGGGGCCAAGCGUUGUCCGGAUUUAUUGGGCGUAAAGAGCUCGUAGGCGGUUCGGCAAGUCAGCUGUGAAAUCUCCACGCUCAACGUGGAGGGGUCAGCUGAUACUGCUGUGACUCGAGUCCGGUAGGGGAGUGUGGAAUUCCCGGUGUGAGCGGUGAAAUGCGCAGAUAUCGGGAGGAACACCAGUAGCGAAGGCGGCACUCUGGGCCGGUACUGACGCUGAGGAGCGAAAGCGUGGGGAGCA
rnacentral:rRNA from 1 species